GACGAACGCUGGCGGCGUGCCUAACACAUGCAAGUCGAACGGAGAUAUGCGAACGAGGCCUUCGGGCGGAGAUUGCAUAUUUUAGUGGCGGACGGGCGAGUAACGCGUGAGCAACCUGCCCUUCAGAGGGGGAUAACGGCUGGAAACGGCCGCUAAUACCGCAUGACAUAUACACAAGGCAUCUUGAGUAUAUCAAAGGAGGAAUCCGCUGAAGGAUGGGCUCGCGUCCGAUUAGCUGGUUGGUGAGGUAACGGCUCACCAAGGCGACGAUCGGUAGCCGAACUGAGAGGUUGAUCGGCCGUAUUGGGACUGAGACACGGCCCAGACUCCUACGGGAGGCAGCAGUGGGGAAUCUUCCACAAUGGGCGAAAGCCUGAUGGAGCGACGCCGCGUGAGCGAAGAAGGCCUUCGGGUUGUAAAGCUCUGUCUGGAGGGACGGAAGGAAGUGACGGUACCUCCGGAGGAAGCCACGGCUAACUACGUGCCAGCAGCCGCGGUAAA
rnacentral:rRNA from 1 species